rnacentral:rRNA from 1 species
GACGAACGCUGGCGGCGUGCCUAAUACAUGCAAGUCGAACGCAUUUUCUUUCACCGUACUUGCUACCCCGGAAAGAAAAGGGUUGCCAAACGGGUAGUUACACCUUGGUAAACUUCCCAACCACCGGGGAUUACCACUGGAAACCAGGUCUAAUACCCCCUAAUUUCCUUUUCCCGCUGGGAAAUGGGUUGAAGGGCGUUUUUCCGCACUUGUUGGAGGACCCGCGGUGCAUUAGCUAGUUGGUGGGGUAACGGCCUACCAAGGCUGCGAUGCAUAGCCGACCUGAGAGGGUGAUCGGCCACACUGGGACUGAGACACGGCCCAGACUCCUACGGGAGGCAGCAGUAGGGAAUCUUCGGCAAUGGACGCAAGUCUGACCGAGCAACGCCGCGUGAGUGAAGAAGGUUUUCGGAUCGUAAAACUCUGUUGUUAGAGAAGAACAAGGAUGAGAGUGGAAAGUUCAUCCCUUGACGGUAUCUAACCAGAAAGCCACGGCUAACUACGUG